rnacentral:lncRNA from 1 species
GGAGCUUUGGGCAUGCACAAUAUGACAGCAAGGAAUAGCAAGUAUCGAAAGCAGAUUAGCAAAGUUCAAUAAGUAUCCAAAGUACUAGUCACAAUUGCUGGCUAAAAUGUGUCCCUAGAUGUAGCACAACAAGUUGGAACAAAGAACGAUGGGUAGAACUGAAAGAAUAAGCAACCAACAACCAAUGCAAUUGUUUUUAUUCUUUUUCCUAAUUUUUCCUCCGAUCGUUGUUUUUGCAACUUUUUUAUUUUUCAACUAUUUUUUGUAUAUUUUUCUCCAAAUAAGGAUCACACGAGAUAGAAC